rnacentral:lncRNA from 1 species
AUUAGUUGGCCACUUGUAGAGUAUAUCUGCCAUAUGGCUAUAGUAGGAUUCUACCACCUCUCUUGGACUCAUUUUACUAUCUAUGAGUUUUUUUCAAAGGUGAUCUUGAAAGCCAAUUGGGCAAAAAUGGGUUAAAAAUGUAUUUUUUAAUACUUUCCAAUUAGGAAAUUGGUCCAUUGAUUGACGAUUGUAUCAUUCAAAUACUGUAUCUUUUAAGGUCAUUGGUAGCCAUUG